AACCCAUACAUGUAUAUAUUUAUAUGUACUAAAAAUCAUCUCCAAGAUCACACGCAAAUAUCUAGUCUUGGAUUUUGUGAAGAUUUGCUGGACUUAUCUACUUCCCAAGACCAAACACCAUCCCAGUCAAUCUCAUUUAUCACCGUUCAACUCAUAUCUUUCCUCUCUAGCACUUUCCCAUCGGCCCUCUCCCCUAGCUUUCAUCUUCCACCAUUGCAAACUUCAAAUUACAAGAACAUGGCUGGAAGUUCACUACUUGAAGCAAGGGAAUCAGAUUUGAAGCCUUUCUAAGAGUUCAUAUCGUCCAACUAACCUACUCGGUUGGGUAAUGUAGAAACUAGAAACCCAUCGUGUUUCGUAUCCGUUUCCCAUCGUUCACAACUGGGUUUAGCCUCAAAGUCCUCUCAAAGUCGAAUCCAAAGAACUUGACAAUUAAAUAUUACAAGGUUUCGGGUCAACUCAGUCAAACCCAGUUAACUUGGUUCGGCUUCGGGUUAACAUUAGUCAACAGAAGAUUGGGUUCGGUUCAGUCAGCGGAAGUCAAUGACAGUCAACUUUCAGUCAACUCGGUCAGCUAGUCAAGCCGGGUCAAACCCGGUCAACACAGUCAACACCCGGUCAAUUCAGGACCUGGAAUACUAUAGAUGCACGCUAGCUACUUCACGUUUUUGGAACGACACUAUGGAAUCACGCUAAGCUAGCUUUGCACAGGAAUGACAAGAAUGGUUGCGAAUGUAAAGAUAUGCAAAACACCAACUACAAAGGCGAGAACACUUGACAACCUCCUAGAAGAUGGUUCGGUGCACAUAAGGAAGUGAUUGAUAUAAAUGAAUAUAACCCCAGUGAAGCUCUUCGAUUUUCCUUGAAAUUCCAGAGCUCGCUAAUUACAUAUCUACCACUUGGGUUAUAUUCAUUCAUAACCCUAGUGGCAGAUAUGUAAUUACCUACACUGGGGUUGUAUUCAUUCAUAUCUUCUACAUUCCGAAGUGCACCCGUCAGUAAAGAUCCACAAUUGCUUGUGGAUCUUUGACGUUUUGUCUCUGUAUUGUAUGUUACGGUCUUUUGUUAUCGAGUCUGUAAGUUCCGUCAAGUCUACGAAGUUGGUAUGACGUUUUGUCUCUGUAUUGUAUGUAUUAAAAGUUCACAUUUAAUAUACAGU